rnacentral:rRNA from 1 species
UACGAAGGGGGCUAGCGUUGCUCGGAAUUACUGGGCGUAAAGGGCUCGUAGGUGGCCAACUAAGUCGGACGUGAAAUCCCUCGGCUUAACCGGGGAACUGCGUCCGAUACUGGUUGGCUUGAGUUUGGGAGAGGGAUGCGGAAUUCCAGGUGUAGCGGUGAAAUGCGUAGAUAUCAGGAGGAACACCGGUGGCGAAGGCGGGUCUCUGGGCAGUAACUGACGCUGAGGAGCGAAAGCGUGGGGAGCGAACAGG